AGCGGUCGGUGCCCGGAGGCAGCAACUACAGAUGGGGGUUGGAGUUUCCUCCGCUCUCCGGUGUGGCCCGCGCAGGGACCCGGCGGCCCUCGGAGGACUCUGCAGGGCGGGGUCACGGGCCCAGAGCCGCGAUUUUCCUAAUGCAUUUUGCCCUGGAAAUAACGGAGACGGACUUUGGUUGCCGCCCUGGAGUUUGGAACCCGAGCGCGGGGCGGGGCGGGACCGGGCAGGGCGACCCGCGCAGAAAACUACUUCCAGCUAAAUGUGCACACACGCCAGUACAGCCGAAAAGUGACUCUGCAGAACCCGGAGCCCUAAUCACUUUUCCACAUGCGCCUCCGGCCCGGCGCGCGACGGGGAACGAGCUGGGAGCGCCCGCGCAGCCAGGAGGGGGGCUGGGCCGCGGGAACGCUGUCCCCCUCCCAGGCUGGAAGGCGGGGAUAAUUCCCCCUGCCGUGCAGCCCUUCUAGACGGCGUCUACCCCUUUAAGAAAAAUCUAGGCGGAGGUGGGGUGCGACAGAAGGGGUGGUGAGGCGAGGGUUUCCCUCCCUCCGUCUGCUAUACCCGUCUCCCUCGCUCCGUCUCACUCUCCGUCUUUCCUCUCCUUCUUUUCCUCUGUUUUUCUUUUCUUUCAACACAAAAGUUGGGUUGUGAAUUUUCCGAGGUCGCCGCCGCCUCGCCCCCACCCCCCGCCUCUGAUCUGCCUAACUAUAAUUAAAGUGCGUUUUUUGUGGCAUUAAUAAAGAGUUAUUUGUCCGCCGUUU
ensembl:lncRNA novel transcript, antisense to CYP26B1